rnacentral:tRNA from 1 species
GAGGGAUGGCUGAGUGGUUGAAGGCGCACGCUUGGAAAGCGUGUUUAGGGUAUCCCCCUAACGUGGGUUCGAAUCCCACUCCCUCC